rnacentral:rRNA from 1 species
UACGUAGGGGGCAAGCGUUGUCCGGAUUUAUUGGGCGUAAAGAGCGUGUAGGCGGCCACACAGGUCUGCUGUGAAAACUCGAGGCUCAACCUCGAGACGCCGAUGGAAACCCUCAGACUAGAGUCCGGAAGAGGAGAGUGGAAUUCCUGGUGUAGCGGUGAAAUGCGCAGAUAUCAGGAAGAACACCCGUGGCUAAGGCGGCUCUCUAGUACGGUACUGACGCUGAGACGCGAAAGCGUGGGGAGCGAACAGG